CGCUAUUCGCUAUAAAAACAUAAUUAAGUAUAGGUUAUGUCUUUAUUUAUUUAUUUAUUUAUUUAUUAAUACGGACAUAAGUCCAAUUCACAAUAUAUUUGUAUAGAUAACAAUAAAAUAUAACCUAAUAAAAAAUGAAAAGAUUAAUAUAUCAAAUAAUAGUAAUAAUAAUAAAAAUAAUAAUAAAAAUACAUUCAAUGUUUAAUAAAAUAAUUAACUAUUUCCCGAAGACAUUAAAAUAUUUAUGGGGUCAUAUGACGUAAACUUUUUAGAUGAAUGAGGAAUAUAAAAUAAAUGAUUGUUACGAGUGUGGUGGCUAUUAACUUUGAAAUUUAAUUGACUUAAUAUAAAUGAAUCAUCAAUCUCAUUAUUUAGUAAUUUGGUGAGGAACGUACUGUAUGAUAAGUGUCUCCGUGAAUUUAAAGAAUCUAAGUUUAACACUUUUAAAAUAUUAUCGUAGCCAGAGUGAGGAGUUCGUUGAAUAUUACAUGUAUGACAUAAAAAU